rnacentral:rRNA from 1 species
AACCCGCGAGGGGGAGCCAAUCUCAGAAACCCGAUCGUAGUCCGGAUCGCAGUCUGCAACUCGACUGCGUGAAGUCGGAAUCGCUAGUAAUCGCGGAUCAGAAUGUCGCGGUGAAUACGUUCCCGGGUCUUGUACACACCGCCCGUCACACCAUGGGAGUGGGUUUCACCAGAAGUAGGUAGCCUAACCGUAAGGAGGGCGCUUACCACGGUGGGAUUCAUGACUGGGGUGAAGUCGUAACAAGGUAACCAAGGGCGAAUUCGCGGCC